GCAGUGUGAGAAGUCACACCAUGCUGCUUCCACCUAACGCCAUCUUAAAAAGGCCAGAAGCAGCCCAGGAUGACUUUUGUCUCCCCUUGGCCGCCCUGUAAAGGAGUGAAGCUGAAAGACUGGCACACCAAGGUCCCUGGCUGUGGGUAAACCAAUUUUCAUCUCCUACAACAUCCUAAAGCCCACGGUGGUGAAGGGGAAAUCCUACAUAUGUGUGGAUUAAAUCACAGCAGAUGGCAGCAACUUUGCUGGUCACAGAAAAAGGUUUAUUGAUCUAGGAACUGGAGUUACUAGGGGAGGAGACAUUUACGAUACGUUGCAUCAUCUGUCAAAUGGGUGACCAGGAUGCAGAACCUCUUCAUAAAUGGCUGAAGGCAAAAGAUGGGAGACAGGGAAGGGCAAUCCUGCCAUGGACAGAACUGAAGGGUGUGAUCUGAGAUACAUCAGGUCACAAUCCAAGGACUGUGUAACCUGUGUGCACCAUCAAAGGGAUGGACCUGCAGCCUGAACCCCAGAAAAAGUGUAAGAGGACUAAGUCUUUGGACAUGAGCUACAGGAUUUCCAGCAUUUGGUGUUUCUCCUACAUGUACUUAAUCCUCUCUGCUACCCACCUCUCCACUUCAUUCUGCACGUCAACCUUUUGUUAGGUCAUUCCCUGAGAUGAUCUCUGAUCAUUAUUAUUUUGGGCUUUCCUGCUUAAGAUAGAAGAUCUGAUGAUUCGUUUCCCCCAAGUGCUUUCGUUUACUGCAGAGUGAAACUGAAUCCGUGGCUUUUCACUCUUUGAGUAGAAGUUGUUUACUUUUCAAUUUUAAUUUUUUAAAAAAAUAUUACUCUUUGAGUAAGAGUUGGGGACAGCAUUUUCUUCCCUCUCAAUCUGUUCCACAAUCUACCACCGCUCUGUCACUAAAAGAAGAACCUCACAGGGAAUUUCCUACGCCGAAAUGUCUGCAUGAGAAAGUGAAAGAAGACAGCUACUUGAAACUGACACUAUUCGUGGUCAUCGCCCCAAGAGGAAGAGUCAGAUAAGGCUGCAAGUCCCUUGCUCUUAAGGUGGUGUUUCUCAACCCCAGCAACCUGAAGCUGUGUGGACUUCAGCUCCCAGUAUUCUGGGAGUUGAAGUCCACACAGUUUAUUGGCUUUGGUCCUAGGCCUGGAGUUAAUAUUGUUGUAUUUUGGGGGGGCCUGUUUGUGUUGUUUUAGUCUGGUUAUAACCAUUUUUAUGGAUUUUGGGGGGUUGUGUAUGCCACCCAGAAUCCAUUGGA